GCCUUCCUCACCAUCUCCUCCGAGGCCUGCUUUUCUUUCUCAAGUGCCUCUUGAAGGUUGGCUACCUCGACAGCCUUUUCCUUGAGGCGGGCAGCCUCGGCCCGGCGACCUUUCUCCGCCUGGAUAGUGUCCCUCCUCACCUUGUUCAUCACCUCGAUGUUGGCAAGGAGCUGGUAUCCGAUCUGCAAGGGUGGCUAGAAGGUCAGAGUGAAAGCUGAGAAGUUAUUUGAAUGAAGGAGCGAGGGGAAGGACAAAAGUGAAUCUGCUUACCUCGAGAAAAGACCCUAGAGAGUCCCAAACCCACUAUUCG
rnacentral:lncRNA from 1 species